rnacentral:rRNA from 1 species
GACGAACGCUGGCUGCGUGCUUAACACAUGCAAGUCGAACGGAAAGGCCCUGCUUUUGUGGGGUGCUCGAGUGGCGAACGGGUGAGUAGCACGUGAGUAACCUGCCCUUGACUUUGGGAUAACUUCAGGAAACUGGGGCUAAUACCGGAUAGGAGCUCCUGCUGCAUGGUGUGGGUUGGAAAGUUUCGGCGGUUGGGGAUGGACUCGCGGCUUAUCAGCUUGUUGGUGGGGUAGUGGCUUACCAAGGCUUUGACGGGUAGCCGGCCUGAGAGGGUGACCGGCCACAUUGGGACUGAGAUACGGCCCAGACUCCUACGGGAGGCAGCAGUGGGGAAUAUUGCACAAUGGGCGGAAGCCUGAUGCAGCAACGCCGCGUGCGGGAUGACGGCCUUCGGGUUGUAAACCGCUUUCGCCUGUGACGAAGCGUGAGUGACGGUAAUGGGUAAAGAAGCACCGGCUAACUACGUG